rnacentral:rRNA from 1 species
UCUAAGUACAUGCCGCACUAAGGUGAAACCGCAAAAGGCUCAUUAAAUCAGUUAUGGUUCCUUGGAUCUUAAACAGUUACUUGGAUAACUGUGGUAAUUCUAGAGCUAAUACAUGCAAUCAAGUCCCGGCCAGAGAUGGGAGGGACGCUUUUAUUAGAUCAAAACCGAUCGGCGUCCGGCUCCGGCCGGCGCCGUCUCUUUUGGUGACUCUGGAUAACCUUAAGCCGAUCGCACGGUCACAGUACCGGCGACGCAUCUUUCAAAUGUCUGACUUAUCAACUGUCGAUGGUAGGCUCUGCGCCUACCAUGGUUAUAACGGGUAACGGGGAAUCAGGGUUCGAUUCCGGAGAGGGAGCCUGAGAAACGGCUACCACAUCCAAGGAAGGCAGCAGGCGCGCAAAUUACCCACUCCCGGCACGGGGAGGUAGUGACGAAAAAUAACGAUACGGGACUCAUCCGAGGCCCCGUAAUCGGAAUGAGUACACUUUAAAUACUUUAACGAGUACCAAUUGGAGGGCAAGUCUGGUGCCAGCAGCCGCGGUAAUUCCAGCUCCAAUAGCGUAUAUUAAAGUUGUUGCGGUUAAAAAGCUCGUAGUUGGAUCUGUGUGCCACGCUGUCGGUUCACCGCCUGCGGUGUUAACUGGCAUGUCUGUGGGACGUCCUGCCGGUGGCGGUACGGGCUGCCGGCGCUGCGUAGGGGUUCGCCCCCGAAGCACGCCGGCGUGUCCCGGUCCGCCGAUCCAAUCCCGCCGCGGUGCUCUUCACUGAGUGUCGAGGAGGGCCGGCACGUUUACUUUGAACAAAUUAGAGUGCUCAAAUC